GGUCCCACCUCCUGCGCCUGCGUGUAGCCGGUCUCUCAGCGUUCGGUUCGGGCGGAGUCGGGCGCCGGUUUCUGCCCCAUCGCAUCGGGCCGUCCCAGCCGCCUACCGGGCGGCGAGUGAGGCCCGCAGCCUUCCGGGUGUGUGUGUCGUCGUCCUCCCCGCGGCCAUCGGUCACCGCAGUGGAGAUGAGCUCCGGAUGCGCUGCGUUCCGAGGAGUGCCCAUUUGACUGGGGGGGGCGAGGGGGGGAGGCGGCGGCCAGGGACAAAGUCUGAGACAUAACCCCGCAAAUUUCAAGGGAAUUUCACGCUGGCUCUGCGUGAGAUGAUGUUGUAACUGACCACUCCUGAGAAGGAAACGUAAGGUGUGGUCCUGGAGUGGAGGGAGGGAGGGAGGGAGGAGGACGAGAUGCAUGCCGUUUUCAUCCAGGGGAUGGCCUAAAAGUGCACUGCCUGCCUACCCCUCCUGCUCAGCAGCCAUGCUCCGUCUCCUUCUCAAGAAUCUAGGGGGAGCUGCUAGAUGAAAGGGGCCAAUGGGGACAUCCCGAGCGUCUCUCCAGGAACCAUGGCUGGACCAUCUUGUAGGGACUGGGGAGCAGCUGGAUGCACCUGGGCACAGAGCACUGGUUCCAGAAAAUGCCAAAGGAAAAGCCCUUGUGCCAAGGGGCUGCACCUGAGCAGAUUCCCAUUUGUUAAGAUGACAACCUUGAGAAGAAGGAAACCUGUAACUGCCAUUCAGAGAAGGUCUAAAAAUUUAAUUGCUGUUUGAACACAAAGGAGCUUUGACAUGCUGUGGUUUAUUGAAACACUCCUGCAGUUAUAGACACAUCUUUAACCACCCUACCCUCUCCCUCUUCCUCCAUCCACCACUGAUUGAUGCAACUGGAAGAUUCAGUAACUGCAGAGCAAAGUCCUGCUUACUUCCAGCUCUCCUGCCCCAGCAAAUGCUCAGCUCUUCUGGGAAGAUGGAGCUAUGCCAUAAACACAUUGCACCUGAAAGGAGAUGAAACCUUCCCUUCAAAGACACAUGUGACCAGGUGUGACCAAUGUGACUUAAUUCUCACAACUAUAUUAAAUAUUCAGUACAUCUGAUAUUCUGUUGUCAACACACAAAAUACAGUUUAAUUAUGAUAAGCCAUACUGGAAUCAUUUACAAUACAUAAACGUGAAAAAACAGCA